AGACAAAAUUUUAUUCCUGUUCUUCUGUGUCAACCAGUUUACGUUAUUGCUAAACGAAAAAAUCGACGAAGGCAUGGUGUGAUGACGGUUGAUGUGUACGACAGCAGAGGACCAUAUACAAUAUAACCUCCUUCUUGGUGAAGUCGGCUAAUAAGGCAAUACAGUAGACCUAUGUCUAGAAGUGGGCUGAAAUAGUCAAGUCAUCAAUUCACUCAAAUAGUAUGCAGCUUGAAUAUGAAUGCAGGAUAAUAAUCCACUGAACACAAGCUCUUUUAAUGACUUUAUUGUUUUUUU